AUGUCCUGAUCCAACAUCGAGGUCGUAAACCCUCUUGUUGAUAAGGUCUCGUAAAGGGGAUUGCGCUGUUAUCCCUGGGGUAACUCUGUCCGUUGAUCGGCGUACCGGAUCCUGUAGGUCAAAAAAUUUUGCUAGCUAGAACUGUGGUUCUUGCUUUUAGGAAUAUUGCUCCUAAUCCUUAUGGGGGUUAUUUUUUUCCCCAAGGUCAACCCCAACCGAAGACAUGUGACAGCAU
rnacentral:rRNA from 1 species